GUCCUCCAAAAAGAUAUGUUGAAAUCCUAACCCCUGGUAUUUGUGAACAUGACCUUAUUUGGAAAUAAGGUCUUUGCAGAUGUAAUCAAGUUAAGAUGGGGUCAUUAUUGUGGGCUCUAAUCCAGUGUGACUGUCCCUGAAAGAAGUGAAGACAGAGACAGAGGGAGAUGAUGGAGGCAGAGACUGGAGCUGUGUAGACACCAUUCAAGGAAUGCCUAGGGCUACCAGGAGCUGAAAGAGUCAAGGAAUGAUCCUCCCACAGGAGUUUUGGAGAGAGCAGAGCCCUGUCAAUUUUGAUUUCAGACGUCUAGCCUCCUGAACAGAGAGUGGCUGGUACCAGUUUUUCCUUUCCAUAAUUUGUGCUUACAAGAGGAGCUCUUGUAAGGGCACUGGGAAGUUCAUGUGUGCAUGGAUGAGAAGAGGAGAAGGGAAGUCUUUAUUCCUUGGGUAACUGAUUCUGACCAGGAGGAGGAGUGCUCUGCCAUGAUAAGAAGUGUUGGCUUUCCCUUUGCCUUCCACCGUAAUUGUAAGUUUCCUGAAGCUUCCCAGUCGUGCCUCCUGUUGUGCCUGCAGAACCGUGAGUCAAUUAAGCAUUUUUACUUUAGAAACCAGCUAGUCUUGGGUAUUUUAUACUGCUAUAGGAUUAUAAAAAUGGAAUAAUAAAACAUGUACAUUUAAAGUCUCCAAGCACAGGGUUUUUUUUCUGUUAUUCUUCAUGUCACAUUUGGUUCCUAUAGGGAGGAAUAUGAAUUACAUAAUGGAUUAGUUCUAUUAUUCAAAUCUUAUACCUUUCAACAGUGGGCUUUGCAAGGGGCCAAAGAUUUUAUUUCAGUAACAAUCAGUACAACAAAAUUCUGAAUUGUGGAUCGCUGUUUUAUUGGAAACAUCUGACUCAUUGAUUUUUAUUGAAUUUAAAUCUCAUCUCAAAAUGAACUGAAGUCCUAAAUCUUCCACAUAGUAUUUAUUAACUUUUUUCCCUUUGAUAAAAUGCUUUAAUCUCCCAUUCUUAGAGCAUCUCUAAUUUCUACACUGUAUUAUAAUUACCAAUGCCUAGAUCUCACUGUUCCUGUUGGAUUGCAUUCCUUUCAAAGCAAGACAAAUGUUUGAUUCAAUUCUGACAUUCUCAAAGAUUAGCUAAGUGUCCCCUAAAAAUUUGUGUUCAAUGGAUAUUUGUUGAGUGAAUAUAUAAGAGUUGACCAAUGUAGAUAACGUAAGAUAAUGGAUGAGAAAAAGAGAUUCAGCUCUUAAUCUACUGGAGAAUUGGCUUAAUAUCAUACAUGGUGUAUGGUGGGAACUACUGAAACACACCAUAGGUAACUCAGAUGUCACUCGUCCUUUUAUUAUCAUCUUGAAACUAUCUAUCUGUGUUCUGCCUCAUUCUAGUAAGAGAAAAACAAGCAUUGGUUAGCGUAGAAUCUACUGAAGAUCUGCUAGGAAAAGCAGAGGACUGAGUUGUGUCAUAAAAGAAAUUUAAAACUUAGAAAAGUUCAUAUAGUGGCCUUUUUUGUUGUUCCUGGGUUCCUUUUGUCUUUUUUCAUCUUUCCUUCCAUAAAGCACUCAGAUUUUCCUAAAAAUAAUCUCCUGCUCUCAAAUGUUUCUCAAGUUUUACAAAUCCCUCAUCUUUAUUAUAUGUGGAAUUUGCUUCUCCUAACUUAUACAG
rnacentral:lncRNA from 13 species